GACGAACGCUGGCGGCGUGCCUAAUACAUGCAAGUUGAGCGCUGAAGGUUGGUACUUGUACCGACUGGAUGAGCAGCGAACGGGUGAGUAACGCGUGGGGAAUCUGCCUUUGAGCGGGGGACAACAUUUGGAAACGAAUGCUAAUACCGCAUAAAAACUUUAAACACAAGUUUUAAGUUUGAAAGAUGCAAUUGCAUCACUCAAAGAUGAUCCCGCGUUGUAUUAGCUAGUUGGUGAGGUAAAGGCUCACCAAGGCGAUGAUACAUAGCCGACCUGAGAGGGUGAUCGGCCACAUUGGGACUGAGACACGGCCCAAACUCCUACGGGAGGCAGCAGUAGGGAAUCUUCGGCAAUGAACGAAAGUCUGACCGAGCAACGCCGCGUGAGUGAAGAAGGUUUUCGGAUCGUAAAACUCUGUUGGUAGAGAAGAACGUUGGUGAGAGUGGAAAGCUCAUCAAGUGACGGUAACUACCCAGAAAGGGACGGCUAACUACGUG
rnacentral:rRNA from 1 species